UGUUUUCUUUAUUUUCAAUCUACACAUUGAAAUUUUAAUGUUUGUUGACUUGGUUGUACAGGUGCAUGCCUAGAAACUCAUUGAGAACUAGUGAAGUAUUUGAAGCAUUAUCAGAUCUCGAGAAAGUUUUCAAGGCCUUGAAUUGGGCCAACCGAAAAAACAAACAACAACAACAACAACAAUCAACUAAACAACUCGAACCAGACAUGGGGGAUAACGUGUUAGACCCAGCUGCGCCAGUAGCACCUCUUGUGCCAGAGGCUCCUCUAUAUGACUAGGCGCAACCCACAGAAGAUAAUUUGGCCAUAACGAUAGUAGUCCCGCAGAUACAGGCUGAAUCUUUUCAAAUCACAAACAACAUGCUACACUUGUUGCAAAACAAGGGACUAUUGUCACGUCACAAACUACCCCUUAGACGUGACUGGCACCCAGCUAACACCACCUGCCGGGCGAACCAUAUUUUCUUACCUUAGCCAUUAAUUUGCAGCAUUUAAUUAAUUAAAUGAGUAUCCAAAUAAUCUGAUAACUAUUACGAACAAUUAAUAUCUCAAAAUAUUAGAUUAAAACUCUAGCCCAAAUCCCACACUAGACCAUGGAGCAUCUAAGAGAAUUACAAAAGACCUCAUAUGAAUAAAUGAUAAAGACUCUUUGGGCUGCCUCCACGAACAAUGCGGCGGGCUCACCUCAAUAACUGAAUCAACUCUAGCGAACUCGUCGGCUACUAGCUCCGUCUUCACCAAUAGUAUCCGCAUAGACAAGCAGGUAAGGAGUGAUUUAUACAUAAAUAUAACCCGGUAAGAUCCCCAACCUGCCACUCUGAAUACCUAUGGAACAAGUGUUAGAAAAUACAAAUACACAACAAGCACACAAAUAAUAUGCACAGAAAUUCUUUUAUCAUAUAAUUACUCUGUAAGGUCCAAACAAUUAUUCAACAGCAAUACUUUAUAAAUCUCAACACAAUCUAUAUUAAGGAAUUGUCAUUAACGGCAGUGUAGGAAAUUAACCAAACACCCCAACGAGUCCCCGGCAGCAUACACAAUGCCCCAAAUCUACUACGGCGGCAUACACAAUGCCCCAAAUAUAUAGCGGCGGCAUACACAAUGCCCUAAAUCUAUUAUGGCGGCAUACAUAAUGCCCCAAAUAUAUAGCGGCGGCAUACCGAUGCCCCAAAUACAUUACGGCAGCGAAGAAAUAAUUUCUAACGCCUAACGCCAUAGCACGAGGCUAAGCUACACUACAUCACAAAUCACUAAUUAAAUGCUUUAGCUUUCUACAAAAUAAUAUAUAUUUACGGCUGGUCAACGACUACCGAUGCUGCCAAGCGCACGCUUGUCCCAACACAUGGACCAGGCAAACAAAAUAUAUUUUCAAAACGGGUUUUGAAAAAGCAAGCAUCAAAGCUUAAAGUCUCACUUACCUCACUAACGAGAAGUUCCCCAACUUUGCAACGUCUAGAACACCAAACAAACGUCGUCCCAUGGCCUCAAUCUAUUCAAUAUGUUAAAUAACACGUCCUAAUUAGUCUAGAUAAAUACUUUCUAUAAUUUUAGAACAAAUCCAAAUCAAAGUCAACCCUCAAUCUAAUUAAUCCGAUUAUGUACCCAAAUCAAUAUCAAACGUUGUAUUUUUAGUAGUGCACGUAGAGACAGUGGUCUCAAAUAUAACUUAACAGUUGCGGAACAUUGAUUAUUCGUGCUAACCAAUUUGACUACUGUUUUAUUGUACAAUUUCACACCUCAUGAUUACCCAAUCAUUAUGAUUAUUAUGUAUUCUAGUUCUAGGUUAAAGAUGAGAAAGAAAGGGAUCAGAUUAUCUUAUUUUUGAAUUUCCUAUAUUUCUAUAUAAUCUGCUAAUCAAUCAUUGUAUAAUCAUUACACACAUAAUAUUAAUUUUUAAUCAUUACAAUGACACUAGUUAUUUAAUGCUCACUUUAUUCUUCUUUCAAAACAAAGGAAGGAGUUACUACAAAGAGGUAUUCAAUGAAAUUCCAAUAUCUGAUUGUAUACUUACAGAGCUAUACUCAGCCGCCAGCAAUUCCAAAGAGUUUCUUCCGUUGAUUCUUUUUCUUCUCAAAUAUAAGCCCUAAUAUAUGUAUUUAACACCCAGAC
rnacentral:lncRNA from 1 species